UGGAUCGUCUCCGUCACUCUGCCACCCGCUACAACAGUGGCGACGAGGGUGACCACCCCGCGAAGCCCCCGCCACGAACAGUGGCGUCUCGGUAGCGCUGGGAGUUCUGCUGGGUACUGAAAGUAAUCGAGUCUACGGAGCAUCGGCGGUCAUGGCCCUGGCUACGAACCUCGGUACCGCAAGUUUCGACGAAAAUCAAGAUAAGUGGGAUAUUUACUUGACUCGACUGGAGGCAUUUUUGAAGCAAACGAUAUUAAGACAGAUAAUAAUAAAAGGGCGCUCUUGGUAUUAUUCGAGUUGGAGCGGUCGUAGUUGUAGGGAAGACCUUGGUACUUCGUCGGGACUUAGGCGAGCAGGGUUUAUUUGCAGUAUUUACAUUUUUGACAAGACAUACGUCGACAGUCUAGCGUGACUCCCAUAUGGAGCCCGCAAGACUAACAUACAGCAAACAGCUUACGAGCACACAGCUCACUAGUACAUUUCGAGCAUGACAACGAGCACUCGGCUCCCGACGACGAGCACACCCUAGCAGCCGGCAAACGCUGCUUAUAAGUUCUUGAUUCCAAGCGAACGGAAACGUUCCUCCAGUCAUCGUUCGACGUCACCGAAGAUGACCCGCCCUUUUGGAGGCGGGCUCACAUACUCGUGUCGUACACACACACAGGCGCAAAGGUCCGGAGCCGACGUCAGAGGGCUUCGUAGAACUCUGCUUUGUCCCGGGUGGCGCGGCCGAGUACCACAUUCCUGAGCUGACCGCGCGCCACGUGGCUGCCGGUCAUCCGCAGUUCUCUGAAGUGCGCCCCGUCUGGUGGGAUUGGAACACGUGCAGCGGACUGAAAGCUGGCACGUUGCCACCCCGCACGGCCAUUCCUAACAGUUUCGACACUGUCAACGAAGACGGUAGGCGUUCUUGCUGGACACUGCGCCCCCAGAAAGUAAAUGGCCUGACUUACAAGGACGCACUUGCCAUCCUAAAUAACCACUAUGCGCCGAAGACUAAUGAGGUUACCGCAAGUUACAAGUUCUUUCCAAGGGAUCAGGCUGCAAACGAAUCUGUCCGGGACUAUGUUGUUCAGCUACGCAAGCUUGCGGAUAAUUGUCACUUCGGCACCAGUUUGGACCGUAUGUUACGGGACCGCAUUGUUUGUGGCAUCCGAAAUCGGGCGGUGCAGCAGACGCUGCUUGAAAAAACUGAGCUCGCACUUGCCCAAGCUGAAAUGAUUGCCAUAGCGGCAGAGACAGCCGCACUAGAAGUAAGCGCCAUGACUAGACCUGAUAAUGAGGCAGCGGUGUGCACUGUAGCGAGUAAAUCGCGCCGAUAUCAGACCUUCACCAAAGAUAAGCAAAGCCAUACUGAGUGCGCACGCUGCGGAAACUACGAUCACGAAGCAAGCGACUGUCCGCACUUUAAAAAGGAGCAGUGUUUUCGCUUUCGGAAGACUGGUCAUUUCACAAGAAAAUGCCGUUCCCACUCGGGGCUCCGGGCUGGUCGUAGGCGCGAUGGCGUCGCUAACGCACUUCAUUAUGAGAGCGCUGUAUCCGAAACGGAGGAAGGCGUUAUUUCAUCAGUCUUCACAUUGCAGGAAUCAAGGGAAAAGAAAUCUUUGCUCCAGGCGUUCCGCAGACUUAUGCGCUGGGGCGGCGUGCCCUUGAACAUGCUUAUUGACACGGGAUCACCGUUUUCUAUCAUUCCGCAGGAGGUGUAUCUAAAGCACCAUCUGAGUUGGCCACGCUUAUCGAAAUGCAAACACACGCUCAGCUGUUACUUGGGCAAGCUACCUAUUGGCGGUGAGCUGCACCUUGAAGCCCAUUUGCGGGAAACACUGUACCUUCCACACUGAUAGUUACAGGCUGCUCGGGUCCCAGCCUUUGCGGAAGGGACUAAUCCAAGCGUUCUCGCUUUUGCCGUCCGGCUUUCUCGCUACGGUUAAAUCGACGUCAGCAGAUCCCGACAGCCUCAGGACCGAGUUUCCUGCCCUUUUUGAGGCAGGACUUGGAAACAUUGAGGGGCCACCUGUGAAAUUCCACAUUCGAGAAGGCGCCCACGCCAAGUUCCACAAGGCGCAGUCAAUUCCUUAUGCUCUUCGUGAAAAAAGUGGAAAGUGAGCUGGACCGUUUAGUAGAGCAAGGCAUAUCGCCCAUAGCACAUUCUGAGUGGGCGGCGCCAAUCGUACCAGUACUCAAGAAAGACGGUUCCCUUCGCAUCUGCGGCGAUUUCAAAACCACAAUCAAUGCUCCGUGCAUAACUGAGCAGUACCCUUUACCAAGCAUUGAAGACAUUUUCGCGUCGCUACGUGGGGGAUCAUUUUUCACAACACUGGACCUUAGGGAUGCAUAUAACGAACUCCCUUUGGCUGAGGAGGCGAGGAAGUUGGCCGUGAUAAACACUCGCAAGGGGUUGUUCUGCUAUAACCGUCUUCCGUUUGGAGUUGCCUCGGCUCCAGCGAUUUUUCAGCGGCGCAUGGAAACGGUCCUGGCCGGUCUUCCAGCCGUGCAAGUUUAGCUUUGAGCUUCAGCAACGUCGACACUACACCCGGUUGUCAAACAAUAUCAGAGGUCGAGUUACAAGACAUGCAGUUGAGGUUUAUACCAUCAUCGAAAUUGAAAAAAACACUCUGAAAAUAAUCAAGUGUUCCGCGAUACGUUGUUUUUCGACGACGACAUGGCGCUCGUGAACAAUUUGGUCAAUUAACUUGGUUUUUAUGCUUAGAAAAGCCCAAACUUUUUGGGGUGCCGCUUGAAUGAAAUUUGUAAAUGUAUGGUGAAUAUACCAGCGCUUAGCUUGCCGUACUUCUUGGUUUAGUUUAUUUUGGAUUUCGUGAAUUGAAACACGUGAAUCACAUCGUCGUCUUAAGCGCUUAACUUUUCUUUUAAGGUGCAAGAUCUAUCUCGUUAUCCAGGGAGUACUCUCGGAAGUUUUUUUAGUUUUAUUGGGAAUAAAGUUGUUAAGGCAGUGAGUGAUCAUUUCUUUAAAUUUAUCCCAAAGCACAGUAGUCUUGUUACUGUGAAAGUUAUCAAGGCAUUGCUCAAGAUAAUCCAAGACCCUUUCGUCUCUGGCACGAGCACAAUCUUUAACAGUGGUUGUUUUACAUUUUUUGGUGUUAAGCACUUCCAAAGAAACAGAAAAUUAUACCAGACUAUGAUCAGAAAUUCCAGGUUCAACCGAAACAAACAAGUUUUCUAUAGAACGACUUACAAAAACGAGGUUGGUUGAAGUAUGGUUGCUGACGUACCAUAGGUGCGCGUUGGCUCUUUUACAACUGGUUGUAGAUUGUGAGACAGACUGCUUUCAUGCAAGUAACCCAAGUGUGAAUUAAUCCCGGAGCAGUGAAACCCGUCCUCCCAAUCAAUAUCUGGUAGGUUAAAGUCUCCUACAAGUAGUACGUUAUCGCUUCUGGAUGAAACCAUGGGUGCAAUUUUGUAGGAAUUCUAUCACUUUUUCUAUGCCUUUUGCGGCCAUCACUGCGCACUCAUUGGUCGAAAAUGACCGGGCCGCGCCCAUUUUGUCUGUCAAUCACGCGACGUCAGGAACCCGCAAAAACUGUAAUCGUCAUAGUGACGUUGACGCACUCAUUAUGCGGAGCAAAAGGCACGGAUUUUUGGCUAGGCCAGAGGCAGGGUCGUUUCCGAAGGCAUAAAAAAAAAUGGCCGCCCCUCUGAUCGCUAUGGCCGUGGCUCUUCGCCGUCGCCGACGUGAACACGGAGAGCAGACAACGCGUUUGACAUGCCGGAUGCCCAUUUUCGACGGCGUUUUCGCCUCUCGAAGGGAAUGGUGUGGUUGUUGUGCGAGGAACUGGCGGGGGAACUAGAAGUUGAGCGAGCGACGGGACUGUCGGUGGAGCGAAAAGUGUUGUGUGCGCUGCGCUUCUUUGCUACCGGGAGCUUCCAAGCGUCCGUUGGGAGCGAGGAGACGAUCCGUGUGUCGCAGUCGACGGUGAGCGAGCGAGCGAGUGCGUGCGACGUGUGGCAGAGGCUGUCGUGAACGCAGGGGCCCGCAACAAGUGGUUCCAUUUUCCAAAGACAGCCGAGGAAAAGGCAGCCGUGAAGGAGGGUUCCCUUCGGCGCGGUGUUAUCGCCGGCGUCAUCGGAUGCGUAGACGGCAGCCUCAUAGCCAUUGUCGCACCCAAGGGUGAGCGCAAGGCUGUGUUCAUGUGCCGCAAGGGAUACUACGCCCUCAACUGCAUGUCCAUCUGCGAAGCGGACAUGAAAAUCUUGGCCUUGACCCUCUGCGACCGGGGUCGGACCACGACGCUUUCGUCUGGCGGACGACAUGGUUGCGCCGGCGGUUCCAAGCGGGGCGCAUCGUGAAUCCCGGCGAAUACCUCCUCGGCGAGAAAAAUUUUUUUGACGCAGUCACGCUUCAGCAGCGCAGAACGCCGUGUCCGCUCCAAUCCAAACUUUCAACCAAACCACAAGAACAUGAGUGACAGUGGUAGCUACCCUUGGGGCCGUGGCUCCUGACCCCCGUUCCUGGCCAUCCUCCAGUGCACACAGCCGAGGGGCAGUGCAACGCAGCACAUGCCGCCAUGCGUUCCGUAGUGGAGAGGUGCAUUGGGCUCUUAAAGAGCCGUUUCCGCUGUCUUCGGCGAUAUCGCACCCUCCUCUACGAGCCGGAACGUGCAGCCAACAUUGUCGCGGCAUGUGCUGUGUUGCACAACCUUCGCCUUUCUGAAGGCGACAUAGAAUCAGGCGAUGACAGCGAUGACGACAGCAGCAGCGGCAGUAGUAGUGAGCUUGACAAUAACGGCGACCCCAUGCCAUACAGUCUGCCCCGAAACACGGGGUCUAGAAUGCACUACUUGAGAGGGUGGGCUGUUCGCGACAAUGUGAUUGGCAUGUUUGGCACAACCCGUGCGCAGCACAUGCGUUAUUUGAGGCGCGUGCGGCGGCAGCUGCGACGUCAACAGCAGCGUCAGCAUCGCUAGGUGCAUGCACACAAUUUUAAGUAAUUUCAUGCUGUGAAAUUGCAGAUACAUUUCCCGUGUUAAGUUGUAGUUGAUGUCUGCGUAAUGCAAAGCAUUCAUGAUUUGUUGAGAAAUGUAAAAGUUGUUAAAAAAAUUAAAUUAUGGGGUUUUACGUGCCAAAACCACUUUCUGAUUAUGAGGCACGCCGUAGUGGAGGGUUCCGGAAAUUUCGACCGCCUGGGGUUCUUUGAAGUGCACCUAAAUCUAAGUCCACGGGUGUUUUCGCAUUAUUUCCCCCCUAUCGAAAUGCGGCGGCCGCGGCCAGGAUUCGAUCCCGCGACCUCGUGCUCAGCAGCCUAACACCAUAGCCACUGAGCAACCACGGCGGGUACAUAAAAGUUGUGUAGUGAAGGGUUAUGUAAAGCCUGCAUUUAUAGUAAGUUAAACGGUAUCUUUAGUGGUGACAUAUGAGAUUGAAAGCAAGCUAAAAAUAAGUGCAUUUUCAAAGUGUCUGCCACAAUUCGCUCGUUGCUGCUGUCGUCAUCUAAGUGCAUGUAGCCUGCAGAAUUUUUAUUCAUACUCGUAUCCCCUUACGUAUUGAUGGACAUCAGCGCCUGUGUCCUCACUUUCUACUAGCACAGAGAAGCUCACAAAAGCCAAGAUGUACAGUGCACGUCACACCUUCCGCUCCAUGGAACGUGCUCUUGCACGCGCAGCUUCUAGGUCGUCCACCAUUUUGUCUCGCAGCAACGGCAAAGUUCCUUUCGAGUGACGAAAAUGCCGUCCAACUGGUCGUCCGACGCGUCAAACGCUGUGGCUCCCGCGAAGUGUGUGCACGCACACGCAGUUGAUAGAUUUCAACAAAGCGACCUCACUUGUAUAUGGCAGAACUCAGCAAUGUUAUACAGUAAUAUUUGUACAGUGCAAGCUAGCACUAGAAAUGUGGUUGCGAUGUGUAAAUUAAAGCACUAUAGGAAAACUGGACCUUUCUGUAUUUCGGCCUUCAACAUAAACUUGUUUAUGUACACAUCACAUGCGACAGUCUCUACAUUGAAGAAGUGUGAGAAUCGUGAGUACUCAGUAGUAGAGGCAUUAUGCAACAUAUCACAGACACGUUGGAAUAAAUAUUGGAUCACAUUGUUCUUGCAUCAUAGUAUAUCACAGGUAACGGCAUGCAUUGUUUAAGAAAACUGUUGUACGCUGCACAAGUACACAGUAAUAGCAACUGGCGUAAACUGCACCAGAAACAGAAAUGAGCAGGUGCCUAAAUCACACGCCAACCGAAUAUUUAUCGCAGCGAAAUGUAUAGGCACAUCACUACAUGUGAAAGGCACAUGCUGUUGUGGCGCUCUGAAACUGAAAGAGCCAUAACAUCAUACUUUGAUAUUCAGUAAGACAAACUGCAUAAAUAUUGCACACAAAUUCCACCACAAGGGCUAAACAUACUAUGUAUCACGACCUGAAUGAUUACUGAAUGACAACAAAAUGUUUGAUAAUGAGACAGAUGUGCAAGAAAAGAGACAUUCCAGCUCAGUACGUAGUGACACAAACAAAUAUGCAACAAACAAAAAAUAAACAUUACAAAUGAAAAGGAGCAUAGGCAAGAAAUUUUCAUAACUUAUUUUUCUUUGUUGCUGUGUAUAUUGACAGGUUGCUUUCGACAUUAUAUUAAGGCCUGAAACUUUCACCAUUCGAUGACAAGGAUUAAAUUGUAGAACACUUGCA